rnacentral:rRNA from 1 species
UGGGGAAUUUUGGACAAUGGGGGAAACCCUGAUCCAGCCAUCCCGCGUGUGCGAUGAAGGCCUUCGGGUUGUAAAGCACUUUUGGCAGGAAAGAAACGUCAUGGGUUAAUACCCCGUGAAACUGACGGUACCUGCAGAAUAAGCACCGGCUAACUACGUGCCAGCAGCCGCGGUAAUACGUAGGGUGCAAGCGUUAAUCGGAAUUACUGGGCGUAAAGCGUGCGCAGGCGGUUCGGAAAGAAAGAUGUGAAAUCCCAGAGCUCAACUUUGGAACUGCAUUUUUAACUACCGGGCUAGAGUGUGUCAGAGGGAGGUGGAAUUCCGCGUGUAGCAGUGAAAUGCGUAGAUAUUCGUAGGAACACCGAUGGCGAAGGCAGCCUCCUGAGAUAUCACUGACGCUCAUGCACGAAAGCGUGGGGAGCAAACAGG